AGAGAGUAAUUCUUCCCUAAUUUAUUGAUGGUGGGGUGUGGAAAUCACUUAUGUAGUAACACUGCCGAUCUAGUAUAAACGGUAUUAUCAAGCCGUAACUGGUGGAAGAUGUAGGUUCGAAUCCUACGAUCGGUAAGAGCUGGAUAACUGGUGCUUUUAACGUAAAAGCUUCCGAGGUUAGUUGCGCACUGCCUAAACCACGCGGUAGUUGGUUCCAGGCUAAUCAACCAGUCUGCUGAAUAGUUUUAUUACGAUUUAACUAUGUCCAGGCUAAAGAAGAACUUUAGAAGGUAUUCUAGGAUAGUGAAGUUCUCCCUCCAUAUCGGAGUAGUUUUUCAAACUAUCCACAAAGUGGGAAAUGCUGGCAUGAGAGAUGCCACUAAUGGUGCACAAUAGCACAGGUAAUUCGCGAUAAUUCCUGUUGAGUAGCAGCAAAAAGCGGGGAGUCAUGACCCUAGCCUAACCGAGUCCUCAGUAUACCGCAGGGCAUAACCACUAAGUCACCUUGACUUAAACUGGAAAAUAAUAGACGUUACUGUAUUUUGUCUUGAAAUACUUAAUGAGUGAGACUUAUGACUCUCCCGGUAUCGUCUGUAUUUUUAAGAGUUUUUACGAGAGUUCUUAAAAAUACUUAAA
rnacentral:misc_RNA from 1 species